rnacentral:tRNA from 1 species
GACCGCGCAGCUCAGUUGGCAGAGCAUUGGGCUAGUAUUCCAAAGGUCGUAAGUUCGAUUCCGACCGUGGUCA